AUUGAACGCUGGCGGAAUGCUUUACACAUGCAAGUCGAACGGCAGCACGGGGCAACCUGGUGGCGAGUGGCGAACGGGUGAGUAAUACAUCGGAACGUGCCCAAUCGUGGGGGAUAACGUAGCGAAAGCUACGCUAAUACCGCAUACGAUCUACGGAUGAAAGCGGGGGAUCGCAAGACCUCGCGCGAAUGGAGCGGCCGAUGGCAGAUGAGGUAGUUGGUGGGGUAAAGGCUCACCAAGCCGACGAUCUGUAGCUGGUCUGAGAGGACGACCAGCCACACUGGGACUGAGACACGGCCCAGACUCCUACGGGAGGCAGCAGUGGGGAAUUUUGGACAAUGGGCGCAAGCCUGAUCCAGCCAUUCCGCGUGCAGGAUGAAGGCCUUCGGGUUGUAAACUGCUUUUGUACGGAACGAAAAGGCUCUGGUUAAUACCCGGGGCUCAUGACGGUACCGUAAGAAUAAGCACCGGCUAACUACGUGCCAGCAGCCGCGGUAA
rnacentral:rRNA from 1 species